rnacentral:rRNA from 1 species
AAUAGAUACCCAGGUAGUCCACGCCGUAAACGAUGAGUGCUAAGUGUUGGGGGGUUUCCGCCCCUCAGUGCUGCAGCUAACGCAUUAAGCACUCCGCCUGGGGAGUACGGUCGCAAGACUGAAACUCAAAGGAAUUGACGGGGGCCCGCACAAGCGGUGGAGCAUGUGGUUUAAUUCGAAGCAACGCGAAGAACCUUACCAGGUCUUGACAUCCCGGUGACCACUAUGGAGACAUAGUUUCCCCUUCGGGGGCAACGGUGACAGGUGGUGCAUGGUUGUCGUCAGCUCGUGUCGUGAGAUGUUGGGUUAAGUCCCGCAACGAGCGCAACCCUUAUUCUUAGUUGCCAUCAUUUCAGUUGGGCACUCUAAGGAGACUGCCGGUGAUAAACCGGAGGAAGGUGGGGAUGACGUCAAAUCAUCAUGCCCCUUAUGACCUGGGCUACACACGUGCUACAAUGGACGGUACAAACGGUUGCCAACCCGCGAGGGGAGCUAAUCCGAUAAAACCGUUCUCAGUUCGGAUUGUAGGCUGCAACUCGCCUAC